rnacentral:rRNA from 1 species
UCACUAAGCGGAGGAAAAGAAACUAACAAGGAUUCCCUUAGUAACGGCGAGUGAACAGGGAAAAGCCCAGCACCGAAGCCUGUGGCUAUUUGGUCACUAGGCAAUGUGGUGUUUAGGUCAACUCUUGGAGAUACUGCCCCAUUCUAAGUCCAUCAAUGAGAAUGGCUAUUGUGACUUGGCCCAUAGAGGGUGAAAGGCCCGUGAGGGUGGGGUUUGUGUUUCCCUGAGUAGACCUUGGAGUCGGGUUGUUUGUGAAUGCAGCCCAAAGCGGGUGGUAAACUCCAUCCAAGGCUAAAUACUAACACGAGUCCGAUAGCGAACAAGUACCGUGAGGGAAAGUUGAAAAGUACUUUGAAGAGAGAGUAAACAGUGCGUGAAACCGCUCAGAGGUAAACGGGUGGAGUUGAACUGCAAGCUUUGAGAAUUUAACUAGUGAGCAUGGCAUACGCUUGGGUAUAUUGGUUGAUUAUCGUGGUUGCCUGAAGGUGGCUGCGAAUAUGGCGGACCAGCUCGCUAGUGCACUUUCUCAAAGUUAUCACCACGACCAGCGCUGUUGCCUUUCCGCUUUGGUUAAACCGUAUCUGUAUUGUCCUUGUGGCCUUACAGACUCGGGAUGGCAGGUAGCCUAUAUGUGCUGGUCUCAUAUAGGUGUAAUCAGCUGACCUAAGUGGGUAUUGUGCGAUGCGCUGGAGACGGCGGCUUGUGGUGCGAACAUGCGUGCCUGUUGAUCGGUAAGCUUGGGUUUGAUGAACUUGUUGCCUGUAUGAACAGGCCAGAUUAUAGCUCAAGCUUAUUCGGUUGGCGGUUGCGUGUGGGGCACUUUAAUGGGCCUAUAGUCUGUGGUGUAGUGGUAGACGAUCCA